GUGGACCCAUGUUGAGGCAAGGGUGGUCAAUUGACCCCCAGAAGCCCGAAAAAGCCAUGGAAGGCAAGAUGGUUGACUCCUGGAUUGUUUGGUGGCUGGGCAGGAAAGCCUAUCAUUUGCUCUAGUAAAUGGAAGAGAAGACCUGUAUUUCUACAACAUAUGAGAAAAUACACCACCGUUUUAGCUUUUAGUUUCAUACACACGGUGGAUUACAUUUAACUAGGAACCAGACCCCCACCCCUUCGUUUCUCUUCCCAUCUCAAACCAAGUUCCAAAAAGCCACCACCUCUCUAAUCCCUUUCUCUAAUAACUACACAUCUUCCCAAGCUUCCAAAUUGUAAUAACCUCCC
rnacentral:lncRNA from 1 species